rnacentral:rRNA from 1 species
UACGGAGGGAGCUAGCGUUAAUCGGAAUUACUGGGCGUAAAGCGCACGUAGUCGGCUUUGCAAGUCGGGUGUGAAAUCCCCGGGCUCAACCUGGGAACUGCAUCCGAGACUGCAUUGCUAGAGUAUGGGAGAGGGAAGCGGAAUUUCUGGUGUAGCAGUGAAAUGCGUAGAUAUCAGAAGGAACAUCAGUGGCGAAGGCGGCUUCCUGGACCAAUACUGACGAUCAGGUGCGAAAGCGUGGGGAGCAAACAGG